UAAUAAGCUAGCAAAAAUCAU
ensembl:piRNA 21ur-5449 ncRNA